rnacentral:rRNA from 1 species
AAGAAACUAACAAGGAUUCCCCCUAGUAACUGCGAGUGAAGCGGGAAGAGCUCAAAUUUAAAAUCUGGCGGUCUCUGAUCGUCCGAGUUGUAACCUGAAGGAGCGUUUUUCGCGCCGAACCGUGUACAAGUCUCCUGGAACGGAGCGUCAUAGAGGGUGAGAAUCCCGUCCAUGACACGGACGCUCGGUGCUUUGUGAUACGCUCCCGAAGAGUCGCGUUGUUUGGGAAUGCAGCGCAAAAUGGGUGGUAAAUUCCAUCUAAAGCUAAAUAUUGGCGAGAGACCGAUAGCGAACAAGUACCGUGAGGGAAAGAUGAAAAGCACUUUGGAAAGAGAGUUAAACAGUACGUGAAAUUGUUGAAAGGGAAACGCUUGAAGUCAGUCGCGUCUUGUGGAACUCAGCCUUGCUUCGGCCUGGUGUACUUUCCACUCGACGGGUCAACAUCAAUUUCGGCCGGUGGACAAGGGCGAGGGGAAUGUAGCGUCGUUUCGGCGACGUGUUAUAGCCCCUCGUCGCAUACACCGGCUGGGAUUGAGGACCGCAGCGCGCCCCUUGUGGCCGGGGGUUCGCCCCACGUACCGCGCUUAGGAUGUUGGCAUAAUGGCUUUAAGCGACCCGUCUUGAAACACGGACCAAGGAGUCUAACAUGCUUGCGAGUGUUCGGGUGGAAAACCCUUGCGCGUAAUGAAAGUGAAAGUUGGGAGCCUCCGCGAGGGGGUGCACCGACGCCCGGCCCUGACGUUCUCUGACGGUGCUGCGGUAGAGCAAGUAUGUUGGGACCCGAAAGAUGGUGAACUAUGCCUGAAUAGGGCGAAGCCAGAGGAAACUCUGGUGGAGGCUCGUAGCGAUUCUGACGUGCAAAUCGAUCGUCAAAUUUGGGUAUAGGGGGCGAAAGACU